rnacentral:lncRNA from 1 species
CCGCACCCCUGAACGCUUGGCAGGCAGCGGGUGUGCAUGCUCUGUCUUCCUUAGCAUCAUUAAGUUUUAUGCUUGCUGGACGAAUGAUCUCCUAAAAGAGCUUAGUAUGGCACCAGUGACCACUGUGGUCUCUUUUUAAAAGAUGAUUCAUGCAUUAUAUCUAGACUUUUCCCAUCUUUUCUCCUCCUACAGAGACAGGAAAACUAAGAAGUCUUGGAAAUGGCCAUGGAGCUCAUAUUUAACUUGCAAAAAGCCGUGUGCAGCCUUCCUGAGACAUUUCUUGGCUUGAAAACGGUGCCACAGCUGCAGCUGCAUGAAUCCAUGGCAACRGGAGGGCCGAGCAGCCCCGCUUCCCCGACCCCACGCCAGCAGAGUGGAGAUGAGCGUGUCCUUCAGCCCCCCAGUGCCCAGCGGGUGCCACACGCCGCUGGCAGGAUGCUGCCACUUGAAAGCCCUGGUGCUGGAGCCAGGCUUGUACUGUGAACCGAGCCACAAGCAUGUCAUAUACACCCAACAUGAGAAGAUUCUCUACCUAUAAAAUGGCCUGGAUAUAAUCUACUUCAGAAGACUGGUCACAGGCAUAAUCAAGUGAUGUCUGCAAAAUGCUUUCUGAUCCAUACAUUUUUUUUUCUUACAAGAUGAUUCUCUUCUGAAGUGAAGUUCCUGAAAACAGCUCACAGGUUCCUAUGCAGAGAACUCACCAGUUUGUCAUUAUUAUUUUCACCAGGCAGGGAGGAGAAUUAGCCUAAUUUUACAGUGUUCAGUGAGUCAAAAACACUUAGAGGUCACCUUUGGGUAUGGAAGCCUAAACAACAUGGUUCUGCCAGACCAAGGGGCUUAAAAACUAAGAAGAUUUUACAGACUUUGAUAUUAUUGCUUCUAUUUUCUGCUUCCUUUAGCAUCUUCUUGGAAGAUGGGAAUCCAGACUUUUUUUUACUUUUAUUAAAUCAAGAUCUUAAUCAGCAAGACAGAAGAAUGGGGCCACAUGUUGGCUGCCAGACAAUGUAGUAAGAUGUUUUCAGUGGCAGCAUAAUUUAUUUUAUUUUAAAUUACAGAGACAAAAAUAUCACAUUGAUAUUCUGUCUGCAGUGGGGCUUGUUAUUUCUGCACUGAACUGGAACGAACCUAAGUAGAGAAAUUUAAUCAAAUCUGAUAUUCCUGGUUUGCUCCCCACUGGCUCCGGGGGUUUGUAAYGUAGAAGAUGAGGCAGUACAGACCUGCUCUCAUGCUGUAACAGCUCUCCUUGGACUGGCUUCUGACGCUCCUCUGACAGGCAGGACAGUCAUUAUAUCCAAACCUAGAGGAACUGAUGAGGCAAGUUAAAUGGAGAUGCUAAGCUUUUCCCUGACCUGUCCUUUCCCUGGUAGGCUAAGCUCCGAGAGCAGCCUGGUUAUUUCAUUCUGGGGACAUUCCCCAAGUCACUCUCCCACACAGGAAAUACAUUUUCUUUCUUCCCUGUAUUUGAGUGCUGCUGUUCCCACAGUCUGCUAGCUAACCCAACUGACUUAUUAAUGAUUCACUGG